AAGUCAUGGUGAGGACAAGCAUUGAUAGCUUCCAUGUAUAUCUCCCAACACUCAUAGAAUUUCUCAUUCUCUUUAGAUGAGAAGUUUGAAAUUUUCCUUUUCAAGCU
rfam:Vitis vinifera, whole genome shotgun sequence of line PN40024, unoriented chromosome 16, chr16